AUUGAACGCUGGCGGAAUGCUUUACACAUGCAAGUCGAACGGCAGCACGGACUUCGGUCUGGUGGCGAGUGGCGAACGGGUGAGUAAUGUAUCGGAACGUGCCCAGUCGUGGGGGAUAACGUAGUGAAAAUUACGCUAAUACCGCAUACGAUCUAUGGAUGAAAGCGGGGGAUCGCAAGACCUCGCGCGAUUGGAGCGGCCGAUAUCAGAUUAGGUAGUUGGUGGGGUAAAGGCCCACCAAGCCAACGAUCUGUAGCUGGUCUGAGAGGACGACCAGCCACACUGGAACUGAGCCACGGUCCAGACUCCUACGGGAGGCAGCAGUGGGGAAUUUUGGACAAUGGGCGAAAGCCUGAUCCAGCCAUUCCGCGUGCAGGAUGAAGGCCCUCGGGUUGUAAACUGCUUUUGUACAGAACGAAAAGGUUUCUACUAAUACUAGGAGCUCAUGACGGUACUGUAAGAAUAAGCACCGGCUAACCACGUGCCAGCAGCCGCCGUAA
rnacentral:rRNA from 1 species